rnacentral:rRNA from 1 species
AGAGUGAACGCUGGCGGUAGGCCUAACACAUGCAAGUCGAACGGCAGCACAGGAGAGCUUGCUCUCUGGGUGGCGAGUGGCGGACGGGUGAGGAAUACAUCGGAAUCUACCUUUUCGUGGGGGAUAACGUAGGGAAACUUACGCUAAUACCGCAUAAGACCUUCGGGUGAAAGCCGGGGACCUUCGGGCCUGGCGCGGAUAGAUGAGCCGAUGUCGGAUUAGCUUGUUGGCGGGGUAAAGGCCCACCAAGGCGACGAUCCGUAGCUGGUCUGAGAGGAUGAUCAGCCACACUGGAACUGAGACACGGUCCAGACUCCUACGGGAGGCAGCAGUGGGGAAUAUUGGACAAUGGGCGCAAGCCUGAUCCAGCCAUACCGCGUGGGUGAAGGAAGGCCUUCGGUGUAAAGCCUUUUGUAGGAAAGAAAGCAAUCGGUUAAUACCCGGUUGUCUGACGUACCAAAGAUAAGCACCGGCUAACUCGUGCCAGCAGCCGCGUAAUCUGAGCGG